UACGGAGGGUGCGAGCGUUGUCCGGAUUGACUGGGCGUAAAGCGCACGCAGGCGGUCGGGCGCGUGGGGUGUGAAAUCUGGCCGCUUAACGGCCAGGCGCCAUCCCAUACGGCGCGACUGGAGUGAUGCAGAGGUCGAUGGAAUUGCCGGUGUAGUGGUGAAAUGCGUAGAGAUCGGCCAGGAACACCCAGGGGGAAACCAGUCGACUGGGCAUCUAC
rnacentral:rRNA from 1 species